rnacentral:lncRNA from 1 species
GCAUCUAGGGCACACAUCUAACAUAGGUUUAUUUCUAUCAGUGGGUUCAAUCCAAAUUUAAUUUGGAUUAGAAUUAGAAUUGAAAAUGAAGAGUCCUUGUCAACUUGGACUCUAUCCUCAUCUUUUGCACCACUCCUGAACCCAUGCCAAUUUCUCCAUGCCUAAUUGGAUUUGGGUUGUGAUUUUUGGCAUCAUGAUAGAAGGUCCA